AAUGUAUGACGCCCUUGAUUUUUUUGUCUAACGUUUGACCAUUCGUCUUAUUUAAAAAAUUUAUGCAAUUAUCAUUUAUCUUAUUGUGAUUUGAUUCGUCAUCAAUAUUAUUUAAGUAUGACAUAAAUAUUUUCAUAUUUACAUAAAAAUUUUGAAUAAAACGAAUAGUUAAACGUUGGUCGAAAAGUCAACGGCGUCAUACAUU
rnacentral:pre_miRNA from 1 species